rnacentral:rRNA from 1 species
CAGUCGCCGCGGGAAUACAGAGGGUGCGAGCGUUAAUCGGAUUUACUGGGCGUAAAGCGUGCGUAGGCGGCUUUUUAAGUCGGAUUUGAAAUCCCUGAGCUUAACUUAGGAAUUGCAUUCGAUACUGGGAAGCUAGAGUAUGGGAGAGGAUGGUAGAAUUCCAGGUGUAGCGGUGAAAUGCGUAGAGAUCUGGAGGAAUACCGAUGGCGAAGGCAGCCAUCUGGCCUAAUACUGACGCUGAGGUACGAAAGCAUGGGGAGCAAACAGGAUUAGAUACCCGCGUAGUCCCUGUCUCUUAUAC